rnacentral:rRNA from 1 species
GAUGAACGCUGGCGGCGUGCCUAAUACAUGCAAGUCGAGCGAACAGACGAGGAGCUUGCUCCUCUGACGUUAGCGGCGGACGGGUGAGUAACACGUGGAUAACCUACCUAUAAGACUGGGAUAACUUCGGGAAACCGGAGCUAAUACCGGAUAAUAUAUUGAACCGCAUGGUUCAAUAGUGAAAGACGGUUUUGCUGUCACUUAUAGAUGGAUCCGCGCCGCAUUAGCUAGUUGGUAAGGUAACGGCUUACCAAGGCAACGAUGCGUAGCCGACCUGAGAGGGUGAUCGGCCACACUGAAACUGAGACACGGUCCAGACUCCUACGGGAGGCAGCAGUAGGGAAUCUUCCGCAAUGGGCGAAAGCCUGACGGAGCAACGCCGCGGGAGGGAUGAAGGUCUUCGGAUCGUAAAACUCUGUUAUUAGGGAAGAACAAAUGUGUAAGUAACUAUGCACGUCUUGACGGUACCGAAUCAGAAAGCCACGGCUAACUACGU